rnacentral:rRNA from 1 species
AAAUUAAAAAUUAAUAAUUUUAAUUUUAAUAAAAGUAAUUUUUAUAUUGAAAUAAGGGGGUUAAAGUAUUUUAAUAGAAAAAAUUAGAAAUUUUAUAGUUAAUUAGUAUAGUAAUAGAAAUUUGAAAAAUUUGAAAAUAAAUUUAAUUUAAAGUAAAUUUAAUUUAUUGUAUCUUGUGUAUCAGAGUUUAUUAAUUAAUUUUUAAAAAUUUAAAUAUCUCGAAUUUAAAAGAGUUAAUUAAUUAAUAAAUUUAAUGUUGAAUAAUUAUUUUAAAUAAUUAAUUAGAAAUGAAAUGUUAAUCGUUUUUAAAUAUAUCUAGUUAUUUUAGAAAAAAAUUUAAUUUUAAAUUUAUAAGAUAUAUUUAUAUUAUUUAAAUAAUUUAAAUAAAAAUAAAUUUUAUAAUUUAAGGGAUAAUCUUUAAAUUAAAAUUUUAUAAUUAAUUUUUUUUUAUUAAAAUUUUUAAAAUUUAUAUUGUUAAAAAAUAAAAAUUUUUUUUAAAAAAUUUUUUAUAAAAAAUUUUAUAAUAAAUAAAAUUUAAAAAUAAAUUUAAUUUUAUAUAAAAAUAUGAUUUUUAAUUAAAAAUAAUUAGUAAUAAUGAUAAAAUUAGUAUAAUUAAUUAUUAAAAUAAAAUAAAUAAAUUAAAUUUAAAAUUAAAUUAAAGGAAUUCGGCAAAAUUUUAUAUUCACCUGUUUAACAAAAACAUGUCUUUUUGAUUUUAAUUUAAAGUCUAAUCUGCCCACUGAUUUAAAAUUAAAGGGCUGCAGUAAUUUGACUGUACAAAGGUAGCAUAAUCAUUAGUCUUUUAAUUGGAGACUUGUAUGAAAGAUUUGAUGAGAUAUAAACUGUCUCUUAUUUAUAUUUAAAAUUUAAUUUUUUAGUUAAAAAGCUAAAAUAAAUUUAAAAGACGAGAAGACCCUAUAGAGUUUAAUAAUUUAUAAUUUAAAAUAUUUAUAUAAAAUUUUUAAUGUUUAAUAAAAUAAAUUAUUUUAUUGGGGUGAUAAAAAAAUUUAAUAAACUUUUUUUUUAAAAAAUAAUCAUAAAUAAGUGAAUAAAUGAUCCUAAAUAAAGAUUAUAAGAAAAAAUUACCUUAGGGAUAACAGCGUAAUAUUUUUUUUUAGUACAAAUAAAAAAAAAAGUUUGCGACCUCGAUGUUGGAUUAAGAUAAAAUUUAAAUGCAAAAGUUUAAAAUUUUGAUCUGUUCGAUCAUUAAAAUCUUACAUGAUCUGAGUUCAAACCGGUGUAAGCCAGGUUGGUUUCUAUCUUUAAAAAAAUAAAAUAUUUUAGUACGAAAGGAUCAAAUAUUUAAAAUAAUUUUAUUAUUUAUGAAUUUUAAUAAUAUUUUUUAUA